rnacentral:rRNA from 1 species
CACGUAGGGCGCGAGCGUUGUCCGGAAUUAUUGGGCGUAAAGAGCUCGUAGGCGGCCUGUUGCGUCCGCUGUGAAAGCCCGGGGCUUAACCCCGGGUCGGCAGUGGAUACGGGCAGGCUAGAGGUAGGUAGGGGAGACUGGAAUUCCUGGUGUAGCGGUGAAAUGCGCAGAUAUCAGGAGGAACACCGGUGGCGAAGGCGGGGUCUCUGGGCCGAUAUUGACGCUGAGGAGCGAAAGCGUGGGGAGCAAACAGG